AUGAUAGCUCAUUUUCCGUAACUGCUAUGAAAGAUAAAUUUUUUAUUUGAAUUAUAUAUAAUAGCACUGAAACAACGCUAAAAUAGAAAAUCACCAAAUAGAAAGCUAAAAUCACUCGUUCCGCCAAUACUUAGGCGAAAUAAUUCACUUAAGCGCCAUAUGUUUCAGAUCCAAAAACUUAAAACGCCAAAGUAAAAAAACUAAAACCCUUCACUUUACCACAAAAUAAAACAUAUCUCCAAAAAACAAAAAAAUCCCAAGUCGAAGAAAAAGAUUUGUUGGAUCUGAGACAUAGCCAUAGCCAGUUAGCCACCAGCGUGAAGCUCGUCGCCGGCCUCCACCGUGAAGCUCGUCGCCGGCCUCCACCAUGAAGCUCGUCGCCGGCCUCCACAGUGAAGCUCGUCGUCACGACAGAACACAGUAAAGGAGUUUGGUGAGAGCUGGAGCAGAUUCAAGCCAUGGAUCUGGUGGUUGCUAAGUGACGGCAAUUACUGUGAAUAUGAGAACUGUGAAGACGAAGACUGAGAAAGAGUGAACACAUGGUCGUCGUAAUUACGGGUAAUGAAGCUCCAAACUUGAGGUACUACUACAUAGUUUUUAGUAGCCACAUAUGGUGCUUGCGGACAAUGUUGCAUGUUCUGGAUUUUUGGUGUGGUUCCUGAUUAUACAAAAGAUUUUGAGGUGAAGGACGAGCGAAAAUAGAGAAUUAAGAGAUGGAUGAUAGUGAAGGUUCUGAAUUCUUACCUCUUGAUAUAUAGCAAAACUGGUGGAUGAAUCUUUUGAUGCUAGAGAAAUGGAGUAUGUGCGUUUAGUAUCCGCUGUUUGUUGGAUAUAUGGUGAGAUAACAUUUGUUUCGAAAUUAUUUUCUUUUGGUAAGUUGUGAAGCAGAGAGAGAUGGAAUCCUGGAGUCUCUAGAAGUGACGUAGUCAAGGUUCUCUCCUUCUUUGUUUCUUACUUUGCUUCAGUCAGUCUGGAGCUUUCAAGUUGUCAAAAGAUGGUUUUCUAUUGCUCCAAUUUGCUCCUUCUGCUGGUGUACGACAAUAUAAUUAAGGCAAGAAACAGGUUGCACUUGAUUCGCCUCCAAGCUUCUGUUUGUGCUCUCUUGUCCUAUGCUACUGUUGUUGUUGCUGCAGCUUCUGUCUCUUCUCCUAUGCUACUGUUUUUGUUGCU